rnacentral:tRNA from 1 species
UUUUGAUUUUUUUAUAAUUAAUUUAUUGUAAAUAAAUUUUAAAAUCAACUUUCCAAAU